AGAAGAAGAGUAGAGAUUUCGCUGUAAAAGCGUAGGGUGGUAAAAAUGUGUCAGGCUUGCUGUCCGCAUGUAACAGCCAGGGAAGACCUGACAGGAAGGGGGCAGGCUUCCAGAUGCCUCAGAUGCACCCCAAUGUCCCAGGAAUGUUCUGGAGCAGGACUGUGAGCCCUCCCUGUGGAUGGGGUAAUAGGAACACGUCUGAGUUCACGUCUCCUCACCGUCUGGGGUCCUUCACAGUCACUCUUGUUUCAAACCUGCUUAGAGUUCAAGAGAGGGCUUGCUCGCUGCUACCACCUGAUGACUUAAACCUCAGCUUUGUGAAACAUCUCUUCCCUGAAGAUUACUCUUCCACCACACAGGAAGUGGAGAUGCUAGAAUCCUGAGGAGUCUCCAGAAUAAAUUCCAGUGCUCAUACAUAAUAAGCAAUUGGGUCCGGAGUUUUGCCUUCAGGCUACCUAUGUUUAGGAUUCCACAUACAUUUUGGUACCACCGAUCCACCCCCUAGCACUAGAGGUGGGGGUGGGGGUAGAGGUGGGAGCCGUCAGGCAACUGAGGCUCCAGUCCUUGGUACUGUGAGCUUCAGUGAUCCCAUUUCUAAGGGCCCAUUCUCUGUGGGGCCAGUCUAGGGGACUGUUGGGACACUGGCACGGGGACAGUCGGUGACAACUAUGCAGCAUAACAAGACAGGGUGUGGUGUGGAAAGGGCAGGCGCCUUGGUUCAAAUUCCAGCUCUUUCACUGUGAGGCCGUGGGAAUCUUGGCUUCUUUACUGAGUCUACUUCUGCCGUGGCUGAGCAAACAAACAGAGUUGUCUAGGAUCUGCCGACUCCUCUUGCAAGACCCAGUCGGCAACAAGCUAUCACUUUCGGAACUCACCCGUGUGGACCCUGCCUGCUGUUCCCUGCCAGGUGCCCAGCCUGGACCCUUUUGUCUGAUCCAUACAGCUCCCUGAGAAGUGGGCAUUCAUUACCUGGGCUUCUAGAAACAAGGCGCCCACUGACUCAUGGAGAUGACCACAGGGUCUGAAGACCACAGUGACGGCCAGUCUUUCCUUCCUAAGACCCAGAAAGCAAUUCCCGAGGAGCCGACAGUGGGACAAUCUACCCCCAGCAACACAGCAAACACAGCAAGUGGGGACAGAACUCACCUGCUUUUGCCGCUGGUGUAUGAAGAACUUUUUCCUUUUGAAAGAAAUUUUGAGUAUGUUCACCCUGUAAAGAGCAAAGCAGAACAAAGCCACGCAUAGCACAAAAAAUAAAGCAAGAUGCAAAUCGAACAAAGGCAUCGGGGCUCGGCCGGGCUACGGCUGACCCUCUUCUGCAUGGGUCCUCUAUUUCAUGAUCCGACGACGACGGUGGGUUGCUGGGAGUAUGUCCUGGCCGAACCCAAGGAGCUGACCGAGCCGGAUCUCCACGGGGCCUCUGGAUGGGGAGGCAGCUUUGAAAGAGCUAGGAGUGCCGGCCAUGCGCAUUCUUUGCUCUCAGUCUCUUUGUGACACUGAAGCCCUGCAGGAGCUGGUAACUACAUGGGGGGAGACAGCUGAGGGCAGUGUGGAGCACAGGGAGGACAGGCCUGGGUUGCACCCCAGCUCUGUUACUUAACAGCCACGUGUGCAUAAUACAGAAUAAAAGGCACUGGUCAUCACCAAA
rnacentral:sRNA from 1 species